rnacentral:rRNA from 1 species
CUAGGUGGCGGCUGGAACGGCAGGAGGAGUGAGUGGCGGCUGGAGCGGCAGGAGGAGUGGGUGGCGACGGCUGGAGCAGGGAGGGAGGGGAGUGGUAGAGAGGAGCAGAGUGGAGUGGCGCUCGGGGCGUUGGGUUAGGUAGCGGCGGAGGGAAGGUCUAGGUAGCGUCGGUGGCGGUGGAGAGAGGCCGCCUCGAGCGGCAGCAAGUACCGGAGGGGGUACGGGGGGAGGAGAGCGGGGAGGGGAAGGGAGUGGUGGGUUGGCUUGGUUGGUCGGAUGGUUGGGCUUCUCUUUUCGCUCGCCUCCGCUCUACCGCUGGCCUGCGCUCCGGCCGCUCCGCCGCGGCACCCUCCUCCUCCUCGUCUCCCUCACCCGCCUAGACUGCAGGCACACGGACCGCCUCCGCAAGAGUGCCGACCCGGACCUCCUGGACACCGCGCCGCGGUACCGCACGACGGCGAGGACCGCCCGCCGGCGCGCGAGGGCCGGCCGCGAUAAGCAGCACGAGCUGGAGGCGGGCCGAAAGCUCCGGCAGUCGCGACGUGAAGACCUGCGGCGCGAGCUGGGGUGGUACGUGUGACAGAGAGAGCGCUGGUGCGCGGCCGGUCCAAGCGGCGGACCCGCUGCCCACCCUCCUAGGCAGUCUCCUCCCCCGCGCCUCCCUCUCCUUCCGCCUCUACCGCGUCUCGUGUGACGGCUCUUCGACGUCUCGGACCGGAGGGGGCUGCUGCUCAAGCUCUUGCUCCCAGUACCGCCGUGGCCCGGAGGGGCUCCGCCUGAAGUCCUUCCGCGACCUGAGCCGCGAGAAGUCCGCCACCGACCUCUCGGACGUCCGCCUCUUCCCGGACGAACGGGUGCCCUUCGAGUCGGAGGCGGUCUAGGAGUAGGUCCCCCACCUGUACAAGCCCGUCGCGCACCCUAAGGAGUUCAAGUUCCGGCUGUAGUACCUGCUCUUUUGGGUUCGGUUCUAAGGUCCCUAAAAGAAACGUUCUCCCGGACGACAACGACACAACUAGGAAAACGUCAGGUUUCCCGUUUGAAUACAACAAGAAUGACUUGUCCGAUCUCAAGGAUAACCCUUCAAAUAUAACCUCGAUGGUCGACCUUACGAUCUACUACUUUUGCCGCUGAAACAACCGUGGCGUCAGGCUCUCCAAGUGUUCCGUAUAUGGUUAGAACGACGGUGACGGUCCUUAGGCUGCUCAAGGUAUUCGACAGACCUAGAAGCAUGAGAACGACACGACCGUUUGAGGUGGGACAGGUCGAGUUCCAACCUUACAGAUAACUGGGUUUCGACAAAGUUUCUACAAAGACAGUUUGAAGGGUCGUCAGAGAAACUAUAAUCCAGAGAAUUAAUAACCUUUCUGUGACCAUCAUUGUAAAUAACCAUCUCACAAACCUCAAAGGUGGUAUCGACAACAAGCCCAACCAGAAAACAAACGUGGACCACCCCUGAAACUAUCGAUACAAGGAGGAGGAGAUGACAAAUCAUCCGUCCGUCUUAUGGGUUCAUGAUGAAGAACUCGUAGCGGAUGUAGUCGGUUUCCGAGACUUUUGACCAAUAAUUAGUUUUUGACUUAAACAAAACAACACGUUAUAUAAAUGUGUACUCGGUUUGUGGGACUAAGAAUGAAUGGUGAUAUUUAUUAACAGAAGUUUCUCCCCAACCUAAAGGAAAAACUAGACGUUAGACGUAGCGGAUCAUUAAUGAUCAUACAAAGUAAAACCCCCGUUACAUACACCAACAAAACGUCCAUGAUUGACAUGUAAACUACACGGACACUAACUAGUGGUUGGUCGAACAAUCAAAGCGUCCUCCUCGUGCGGAUCCUCUUCUCUCCCGAGUAAGGUGAACAAACCUUCUCUUCUGCUACUUCGUACCACCAAUAGAUCUAUUAGACGGAACACAAAACCAACAUGAAACAUGGAUCAAUAUAACAUAAGACAUCAUCAGUCGUGUAAGAUCUC